CCCAAGGUAACCCAAAGAAAGUCAGUCUGUCAUCGAGGGACUGUCUGUCUUAUUUCCAUUGUGGUCCUUUAAUCUUGGCCUCCAGGAUGCCACCCACACCAGUCCACUAUCACCCAGAUGAGCGACCAGUGGCCGACAUUUGGACUCCCGAGGAGGGCCAGCACUCUGACUGAUAGAGACUUUUUGCCGAUUUUCUCGGCAAACUAGGCAACAUGUCAAUCAAAAAGUCUUCUCUUUGUGAGGGCCAGAUUUUCUCAUUUACUUGCAUCCAGAGAACAAGUAUCGUCUGACCAUACCAU